rnacentral:rRNA from 1 species
GACGAACGCUGGCGGCGUGCUUAAUACAUGCAAGUCGAACGAAGUGGGGACGGGUGAGUAACAAGUGGGUAACCUCCCAUCAGAGGGGAUAACACUUGGAAAAAGGUGAUAAACCGAUACAGAUGGAUGGCCCUGCGGUGCAUUAGCUGGUUGGUGAGGUAAGGGCUCACCAAGGCCACGAUGCAUCGCCGACCUGGGAGGGGGAUCGGCCACACUGGGACUGAGACACGGCCCGUACUCCUACGGGGGGCAGCAGUAGGGAAUCUUCGGCAAUGGACGAAAGCCUGACCGAGCAACGCCGCGGGAGUGAAGAAGGUUUUCGGAUCGUAAAACUCUGUUGUUAGAGAAGCGGUAUCUAACCAGAAAGCCACGGCUAACUACGUGCCAGCAGCCGCGGUAAUAC